rnacentral:rRNA from 1 species
GUAACAAGGUCUCCGUUGGUGAACCAGCGGAGGGAUCAUUACCGAGUUUACAACUCCCAAACCCCUGUGAACAUACCUAUUGUUGCCUCGGCGGAUCAGCCCGGCCCCGGUAAAACGGGACGGCCCGCCAGAGGACCCUAAACUCUGUUUUUAGUGUAACUUCUGAGUAAAACAAACAAAUAAAUCAAAACUUUCAACAACGGAUCUCUUGGUUCUGGCAUCGAUGAAGAACGCAGCAAAAUGCGAUAAGUAAUGUGAAUUGCAGAAUUCAGUGAAUCAUCGAAUCUUUGAACGCACAUUGCGCCCGCCAGUAUUCUGGCGGGCAUGCCUGUUCGAGCGUCAUUUCAACCCUCAAGCACAGCUUGGUGUUGGGAUUUGCGGAGUAAUUCGCAGUCCCCAAAUCUAUUGGCGGUCACGUCGAGCUUCCAUAGCGUAGUAAUUACACCUCGUUACUGGUAAUCGUCGCGGCCACGCCGUUAAACCCCAACUUCUGAAUGUUGACCUCGGAUCAGGUAGGAAUACCCGCUGAACUUAAGCAUAUCAAUA